rnacentral:tRNA from 1 species
CCUUCGAUAGCUCAGUUGGAAGAGCGUGAGACUGUAAUUGGUUACCACCUGUCAUCUCAAGGUCGCUGGUUCGAUCCCGGCUCGAAGGA